rnacentral:lncRNA from 1 species
UAAAAGGUCCUAUUCCCCAAGAAAUUUGUAAUCUAGCAAAUUUAACUUCAUUGUACCUCUCCCAAAACAAAUUGACUGGUUCAAUCCCUUCUUGUAUUGGUAGUUUAUCAAAGAUGCAGUACUCAAGCCUUACUUCUAAUCUAUUAAAAGGUCCUAUUCCCCAAGAAAUUUGUGAUCUAGCAAAUUUAACUUCGUUGUACCUCUCCCAAAAUAAAUUGACUGGUUCAAUCCCUUCUUGUAUUGGUAGUUUAUCAAAGUUGCAGUACUUAAGCCUUGCUUCUAAUCUAUUAAAAGGUUCUAUCCCAAAAGAAAUUGGCAAGCUUUUUGAUCUAUCAAAUCUAAACCUUAGCUUCAACCAACUCUCAGGUCCUAUCCCUAUCUUGUCUGCUACUCAUCUCUACAUUGUCGACGCUGGAAAUGGUUGUCAAAAGAUUUUUCCCGAUCCAUUUGAAGGCAAUAGUGAUUUAUCACCCUAUAUGUGUCCUACUCCAGUUACCAAAAAAGCCAACAGCAGCAGAAUUC